UCCAGGUGUUGAAGUUUGCUUGCUCCACCACCUGGAUUUCAGGAUCUCCCCCUGGUGCUAAAGUGGAGCUUUCCACUAGCUUGCUGGAAUGUCUCCCAUUCAGUACUGUGCCCCUUCCCCCAGGGCGAGAGGCACCUUUCCCAUUAAUCCCUCAAGCUACCUGGGCUACUGGGCUGCUGGACUCUAUCUUUCUUGUGGUUCAGCUUUCCAGGGAUUUUCCAGCAGUGAUAUUUUCUGGGCUUUCAGAGAUUGAUAUGAGAGGGGAUUUAAACUCUCUUGUCAUCUACUGCUGGGCCAUAGCUGCAGAAGCAGCACUGAGGAGAGUUAUGGCCAGCUACCUCAAUCUUCCCAUUAUCCUCAAAUUCCUUGCCAGCAUUUAUAAGUCUUUGGAAAGCUGCAGGCUGGAGUGGAGAAAGGGGAAGCUUCCCCACAGUUACCAGGUCUUCAAUUUGUUGAUGACUUCAUUCCCGGAGCUUUCUACUGUCUUGCUGCUGAGUUCAAGCAAAGUUUUUUAGAGCAAAACAAGAGCGUACUGGUAAACUCCUUAAAGGCAGGAACUUUUACACCAGAAGAAUUUCUGUCACCAGCAUGAGCACGAGU